AUUGAACGCUGGCGGCAGGGCUAACACAUGCAAGUCGAGCGGCAGCGGGCCUUCGGGUGCCGGCGAGCGGCGGACGGGUGAGGAACGCGUGGGAAUCUGCCUAUAGGUGGGGGAUAGCCCGGAGAAAUCCGGAUUAAUACCGCAUAAUACCUGAGGGUUAAAAGGAGAAUCGCAAGACUUCGUGCCUAUAGAUGAGCCCACGUCAGAUUAGCUAGUUGGUAGGGUAAAGGCCUACCAAGGCGACGAUCUGUAGCUGGCCUGAGAGGGUGGCCAGCCACACUGGAACUGAGACACGGUCCAGACUCCUACGGGAGGCAGCAGUGGGGAAUAUUGGACGAUGGGCGCAAGCCUGAUCCAGCCAUGCCGCGUGUGUGAAGAAGGCCUUCGGGUUGUAAAGCACUUUAAGUUGGGAGGAAGGUUCGAUGGCUAAUAUCCAUCGGAAUUGACGUUACCAACAGAGUAAGCACCGGCUAAUUCCGUGCCAGCCGCCGCCGUAA
rnacentral:rRNA from 1 species